GUCUGUCUGAGUGUUGGUU
rnacentral:rRNA from 2 species